rnacentral:misc_RNA from 1 species
AACGCACAUUGCACCUUUUGGUAUUCCGAAAGGUAUGCUUGUUCGAGCGUCGCUUAUACUAUAUCAAUUUAAUUAUUGAAUGUAUUGAAGGUCUUUGUUUAUUUUUAUUAAUAAACACCUUCCAAAAUGAUUGAGCGAUCUUGAUUAGACUUGUUUAACGCAUUAAAAUAACUAUCGUUAGAAGAGAAAAUCAAUUGGUCUGCCAUUUAAACCGCUGAAGAAGAAUUUCGAAAGAAGUUUUUUUUUCACAACCAACAUAAAAGAUCGACCUCGGAUCAAGUAGGAUUACCCGCUGAACUUAA